AGAGAUGUCGAGUCUUACAAUGUAGAGGCAGCCAAUUAACUGACUACCACUGAAAAUUGCAAAGAGACAAAAUUAUUUAAUUGGUCCUUCUAAUUAUGCAUUCAAUUUCCUUCAGAAUUAAAUAGUAUUCUUGACCGUUAUGUCUCCCAUGCCUUCCAUCAUAGUACUUAAAUAUAAAUAGCAAUGUAAUUAAAUAUAAUUAAGAUACCAGUCAAGCUGCUGGGAUCUCUUUAUCAUAGCACAUGCACAUUAUAAAUGCAGUGCAUUCAGAAAACCUAUUUGUAUAGGAGCUUUAUAACAUGGGAACUAGCCUGUACGAGGUGCCAGAAUUUAAAGUGAUGCAAUAUACAUCAUCAAUUUUAAUCCAAUGCUACACCUUGAACAGAUAUGCAAGUUCUCAAUAAAACUGUAAUCACAAGACAACAAAAUUCCCACCACAGAUUUCCUUGACAUUCAGUGCUCCCAUAUAACAAAUGUGUGAAGGGCAAAAUAACACAGUCACAAGAUGAUUACAAAAAUGCCACGUAAACUUCUGCAGGUGGCAGGAGUCCGAGUGGUAUCUGAAGUCCGAGGUGCAGAUGGUGAACAGCACAGUGGUAAAAUUGUUGCCUUGCAGCACUUGCGGCGUCAGAGAUCCGGGUUCAAUCCUAACCGGGUGCUGUCUAUACGGAGUUUGUACAUUCUCCCUGUGACCAUGUGGGUCUUCUCAGAGAUCUUCAGUUUCCUCCCACACUCCAAAGACGUACAGGUUUGUAUGUUAAUUGGCUUGUACAAGUGUAAAUUAUCCCUAGUGUGUGUAGGAUAGUGUAAGUGUGCUAGGAUUGCUGGUCGGUGCAGAUGCAAUAGGCCGAAGGGACUGUUUCCGCGCUGUAUCUCUAAAUGAAACAAAACGGGAAGGGAAAGAGGACCGUCCCCUGUAGGGCCCAUGUGUUAUUCACACCAUGUCCAAGAUACAGUUCUGUAGCCUGACAUACCGUGGUGAUCCAGUCAGGUAGUUGGUGAUCCAGGACAACAAUGGAGCAUCCACCCACAUCUUCCUCAGUUUGCUCCCUAGUAGUGCAGGCUGGAUGGUUAAAAGCAUUGGAGAAGUCAAAAACAAGACUCACAGUGCUUCCCGGCCUAUCCAGGUGAACAUAGGAACGAUUGAGCAGGUGGAUGAUGGCAACCUCAACCCCCAUCUUUGUUUGGUAAGCAAAUUGCAACUACAGAUGCACCAUAGAAACCGUUCUCCCAGGAAGUCUCACAACUUAGUUUGGCAACUACUAUGCUCAAGUUGCAAUAAAACUGCAGAUAUGUGGAUGCAGUCCAUCAAACAAAUUAGUCUCUUUUCCCCAUCGACUCAAUCGAGACUUUACGCUGUGUUAGGAAAGCAGCCAACACAACCAAAGGACUAUUUAUACUCCUAUCAUUCCCUAUUUUCCCUUCUAAUGUCUGCCAGAAGAUAAAAGCAUGCCCCACAAGUUUCAGGAUUAACUUCUUGACCACUAUUAUCAGACUACUCAUAAACUACCAACAAGCUGAUCACUGUUCUAUUAACUUUAAAAUAGUUACGGAUAAAGAUAAAUUGAGGCUCUUGUCAGUAAAAAGGAGAUGGGUGGAAAAAAAAUGGGACGUGCUGGGAUCAAAUGUAUCCCUGGAGGAGUUGCGGGGACUAAGGUGCUUAAAGAGCAUAAAGAGGUAAGAGAUAAUUCUGGCAUAUAAUAGUAAGGAAACUCCAAAGAGCCCCUUAGAAACCGCACGAGAUGGGCAAGGUCCUCAAGAAGUAUUUCUCCUCUGCUUUAAUCGUGGAAAAAAAAACAUGAAUACUGGAAAACCUGGGACAGUAAAUAGAUAUGUCUUGACGACAGUUCACAUGGGCAAUUUGGGCAGAAGGGCUUGUUUCCAUGCUUUGUGACUACUGAAUUAGUUAAAUCGAAUCAAGAAUUUCCCUCAUCUCGCCAACACCAUUUAUCAUAAUACUGUGAAGAUGCUGUAACUGUUGAGUGGUUUUGUGAAUUUUCAGAUCAUUAGACAAAAUUCAAGUCAUAGACAUCAGUAAAAAUAGAACACAUCCCUGAUUUAAUGCUGGCCCGUAACUUACAUCAUGAAAACAUUUAAUGGAGCUAUACAUUAUUGGCCAACUGAAGCCAUCAGUGCUCAGUCGGUCAGGUUCAGGACGAAGCAUACUUGCGCUGCAAGUCCAUGGCUUAAGAUCCAAGUUACAAAUUUAUCACAACCCUGGUUGGUAGAGACCAAUGAUGAAGCUGAUGACCCAAGUCUAAUUUUGCCUUCACUUCAACUUCAACAUAUGACUGUUCAAACUACACAUGCUCCUAGUUAUGAGUUGUGCAUGUUUCCUUGCACUAAAUUGUUCAAGUUAGAUUCCACAAUGAUACGCAAUAUUACUAACGCAUCACUUAUCCAAUAUCUAACAUUCAGCCAGUUUCAUCUUUACAUCACACGUCUGCUUUUCUGUAGUAAGACUAAAGUGGGCGACAGUGGCACAGCUAGCAGAGCUGCUGCCUCACCGCGCCAGAAAACUGGGUUCAAUCCUGGCCUCGGGUGCUAUCUUUAUGGAGUUUGCAUGCUCUGUGACUGCGUGGAUUCCUUCCAGGUACUCCAGCUUCCUCUCACAUCCCAAAGACGUGCAGAUCUGUAGGUUAAUUGGCCUCGGUGCAGUUAGCCCUAGUUUGUAGGGAAUGUAUGCGAAAGCAGGAUAAUGUCAAACUAGUGUGAACGGGCAGUUGAUGGCUAGCGCGAGUCGAAGGACCUAUUUCCAUGCUGUAUCUUAAAACUAAAAAUCUAAUAACACCAACCCCUAACACUAAUUGCAAAUAUUACCAUACUUCCCCGAUAAAUUCAGCAUUAGAUUAAGUAAUCUAGUUUGGGGGUUGUGACGAAAUCCUGCAAUAAACAUGUAGUGCCUGGGUGUAUAGCCAAUAGUUGACAAGUCAACAUCAUGAACUAUAGCAAUCCUUUUGGAAGUUCUUUGGAUAGAGAGGUCCAGAACUUAGAACAAACGACAAUGAAGAUUAGCAAUGCAAUUUUAAAUCAGUCUGCUGAGGAGCAGAACUUGCUAGGAGAGAGUUCUCUUACACAUCUGCCACCACAUCCCGAAUGGCAGUCACAGUUUGUAGUAGCAAAUGAAGCCAUGCCGGAAGACGAUUGUGUAAUUUUGUUUGUUUACAUUUCCAACACAUGAAAUUGCUUAGUUUGGUCAAGUCAAAGCAUAUUAGUUUAGUUCUGCAGUCAUCUUGGCAAGACUGCGGACAGUGAAACAGUGUAAAUCAGCAGACGUCAAUUUCCUCUCAAAGUCCAGUCUGAAUUCAAUGAUACAUUGUCACAUGAACCUAGGUACAGUGAAAUUAUUUGAUUUUGCAUAUAAUCUGUUGAAAUCAUGCAGCAGAUCUCACUUAGGCAGUACACAUAGAGUCACAACACUCUAUGUGUAUCUUCAGGAAUAAUCAAAUUAGAAUAGACUGUAAUCAUAAGAUUGUCUUAUGUUAAAUUAUCGGGGCUAUUUAUUAGAAUGACUUUUCCAAUCGUGGUGCAAGGACUUGUCAAAAGUUUACAAGAGGCACCAGGUAGCAUCUUUUGACUACUCCCAAAAACGUAAAAAUGUCAAAUCCACUUUAGAAUCAACACAACAGAGCUUGGUUUCAACAUACACAUAGCAAUGAAAAGGUUAAUAAAAUGGGUUGAUAGCAAAUAUUCAGCAUGUCCAUAAAUGUAUACUGCUGACGAUUAGCACUCAAAAGAUUUUACUCGUUGAUCACCGUAGGAAAAAUAAUUACUCUAUAAACCAUGCUGUGGAUUGGCAGCUGUACUGGUUCGUGAACUGAUUCCGAAACGAGUUUACAAUCUAACAAUUAAAAUUCCAACUCCUCUAUCCAUUUUUUUAAAAUUUUAAAACGUAAAAAAAAUUGGAUCCUUCCUUCCCCCCUAAAAUUUCCUAUGACGUGAAAGCGAAUGAUUUUCUCAGCGCCAACUCGACACGUGUACAACUGAAAGCCUUGGCUACAGGAAAGCCAUCCUUCGCCAAGCCUGUUUACAUCCACAAGUCACGCCCAUUCACUCCAAAGCUUCCUGUGCACCGCGAAAAAAACCCUACUAAUUUCCAUCCAGAAGGCAGACGCAUUGCAUAAAACACACCAUUGGCAUCCGUGAAUUUUGCGUAAUAUGGCGAAUUAAUGAACCCAAGCAGAAGCCUAACAGUAAUGGAAUUAGAAAGAGUCACAAGAGACUGCAGAUGCUGGAAUCUUGAAUGAAAACCAAAGUGAUGAAGGAACUCAAGGAUUUAGGAUCAAGGAUUUGAUGUUUCAGCUUGCAGAUUGGAUUUGGAAGACACUGCCAAAAACUGUACUGGAAACAUGUUUAAUUACAGCAUGCAAAUGGAAGAUGGAUAAGUUUCUGAAAGGAAAUAAUUUGCAGGGCCUGGGGAGACAAUGCGGAUGUGGGACUUGCUGGAUUUCAUAGACCUCUUUCGUAGAUCUAGAAGAGACUUGAUGAGGCAAGUGGUCUCCUUGCAAGCUGUUAUUCCUCAAGGUGAGAAAUUAUACCCUUGGUUCGUCCAGUGUCAUGUGCAGAGAAAGGAACUACUGUGAUAAAUGUGACCUUCUGAAAGAAAUCAGAAAAUCAAUAAAGUGAACACGCACACUCCAUUCCCACACAAGUGCCUAUGGUAUCCUGAUAGUCAAGUUGGGGAUCACGUCAUUAUUCAGUCUUAAGACAAGAGCAUAUGCCAAAGGAAAAGAUAUAUAAAGGGGAAACAGCAAUUUACUAUGUAGAGACAAAAUCAAUGCUUCUUUCCUUGAUGAAAGAAAUAGACCGUUAUUACCUAGGGUGAAACUGUCUGGGAAUAAAUUAGAGCAAUAAUCCCAAGGGCAUUAGUGGAAGCCAAUGCUCUCAUUGUUUUGUCUCAAUGCUAUAUGCAGGUGCUGAGGAUGUCCGACAAUAAAAAAAAAACAAAAUACAGCUUCUCUCUUUGAUCUCUUUCUUUUUUGCCUAAAAUCUGGAAACACAUUUAACAUUGGAUUUAAUGUUAAUCUCAACAUUAAGGGUGUUCUGGCAGUUCUCUCAUACAUGGCUUUGUGUUUAUGUCACAUGUAACUUAGACUGAAACUCUUGAUGCGAGUUACUAAUAACGUGUAGUGGGCUAUCUAGGUCUGGGUGAACUGUUAUGACAGAUCUGCAAACAUGUGGUGGCAGAACAUCAAAAAUAGAUUUGAAUUCCGAGUUAUAUUAUAUGUAUCAUUUUAUCUAUUGCAAGGAAUAACAAAUAGUAUAGUCUUACAGUCAUACAGCUUUGAAACAGGCCCUUCAUAGAAACAUAGAAAUUAGGUGCAGGAGUAGGUCAUUCGGCCCUUCGAGCCUGCACCACCAUUCAAUAUGAUCAUGGCUGAUCAUCCAACUCAGUAUCCCGUACCUGCCUUCUCUCCAUACCCCUUAGCCACAAGGGCCACAUCUAACUCCCUCUUAAAUAUAGCCAAUGAACUGGCCUCAGCUACCCUCUGUGGCAGAGAGUUCCAGAGAUUCACCACUCUUUGUGUAAAAAAGGUUUUUCUCAUCUCGGUUUUAAAGGAUUUCCCCCUUAUCCUUAAGCUGUGACCCCUUGUCCUGGACUUCCCCAACAUCGGGAACAAUCUUCCUGCAUCUAGCCUGUCCAACCCCUUAAGAAUUUUGUAACUAUCUAUAAGAUUCCCUCUCAAUCUCCUAAAUUCUAGAGAGUAUAAACCAAGUCUAUCCAGUCUUUCUUCAUAAGACAGUCCUGACAUCCCAGGAAUCAGUCUGGUGAACCUUCUCUGCACUCCCUCUAUGGCAAUAAUGUCCUUCCUCAGAUUUGGAGACCAAAACUGCACGCAAUACUCCAGGUGUGGUCUCACCA